GCAAGGAACUCUGACGUUAUUUUAGUGUGUAGGGAGCUAAACAGGAUGGAAAAUGCAGGAAACAUUGGUUCUCGACGGCGUGAGGGCAAAAAGUAUGCAGUUGAAGAUGAGGCACUUGACAGGAUUGCUAAAGAGUUCUGGAUGGAAUCAUCUGUAAUUGCAAAGUUACUUAAUCAACUACUAGUAAGAAGUCAGGCAUUCUGUGACUUCCCUGCAUGAGGUGUUUAAUUCCAUGAAAGGUUGGUUGUCUAUGAAAAGAUAUGGGAAACUGCAG